rnacentral:lncRNA from 1 species
GAGACACUAAUACAAAGAUGUGGGUGCUCAUUAGAAGAAUGAGUUCACUGAAUUGACCUACAAAGAGAAAUCUUAUGAAGUCUUACUUAUAUGUCAAAAGAUGAUUCUCUUAGUGGAAGUUGUGCAACUGAUCCUAUGACCUGAGAUCACCAUGGUAUCUUGUGCACAUGAACCCAUGUUUUGGUUUACACUCAUUCAUGACAACAAGUUGUGUACAAGGUCUUCUGGAUAUGGUGAGUUGUGUAAGAAGAUUAUGAGUAGGUCAACAAGGAAUUAAUCACUUCUAGUAAGAGAAGAUAGCAUCCUAUUUAUUCUAAUCAUAUGAUAAUUCAGAAAGCCUUUGAUCAAAGCAGAAUGAAAAUUAGAAAGAUUUUCUAAUGUUUCAUUAUUUGAAUUAUCAUUAAAAGAUUGAGAAAAAUAUGAAUAUGAAAUUGAGUUUGACAUAUAUUCAUACUCAUAUACAUAUUUGGGAUGCAGUUUGAUUAAAGAAU